AACGAACGCUGGCGGCGUGCCUAACACAUGCAAGUCGUGCGGGAAAGUUCCCUCGGGAGCGAGUAUAGCGCGCACGGGUGAGUAAGUACGUAGGUAACCUGCCCGUCAAGUUUGGGACAACCUGUCGAAAGACGGGCUAAUACCGGAUGAGACCACGAGAGCUGUGGCUCUUGGGGUCAAAGGUGGCCUCUGCUUGCAAGCUAUCGCUUGAGGAUGGGCCUGCGCGCCAUUAGCUAGUUGGU
rnacentral:rRNA from 1 species